GUUUCCGUAGUGUAGUGGUUAUCACGUCUGCCUCACACGCAAAAGGUCCCCUGUUCGAGCCUGGGCGGAGACA
rnacentral:tRNA from 2 species